rnacentral:lncRNA from 1 species
AAGUCAAUCCCCUCAACUUGAGUGUCACCCCUUAUGACCAAUCUGGCCUUAUACCUUUCAACAGUGCCAUCUGCCUUAUAUUUGAUUUUGUAAACCCAUUUGCAACCAAUAGGCUUCUUACCAGGAGGAAGAAGAACAACAUCCCAAGUUUGGUUUGUGUCCAAGGUUUAAAACUCCUGCCUCAUGGCAGCUCGCCAAGCUGGAACAGAUGCUGCCUGAGAAUAGUAUUGAGGUUCAACUUCCAAAGAGGAGGAAGAAGAGCCAGAGAAAGCAGGAAGUUGGCAUACAUAUUGAGGUUCAACUUCCAAAGAGGAGGAAGAAGAGCCAGAGAAAGCAGGAAGUUGGCACACAUAAUCCUUAAGGUAGGAAGGAGGAUUAUGAAUUCUGCUAGAUUUCCUAAGAGCUGGAACAGAAAUAGUAUCCAAGAUAGGAACAGAAGAAGGUGGAUGGACAGGUGAAUCAGAAGCAGAAGGAGAGGAAGGAAUAGGUGAAUCAAUAUAUUACUCCUAACACCCAUAUACACCUCAUUUAAACUCAUCAAAAACUGAAACACCUUGUUAUCAUCACAUUCCUUAACUAUACCUUCCUUAGCAGCACAUGUACAUUGCAUACCAUGAUUGACACACAUAAAAUCAAGCUCAUCCCACACACUUUUCAAUUUAUUAAAAUAGGAAGCAACAUCAGA